ensembl:lncRNA ATP13A3-DT ATP13A3 divergent transcript
ACCCUCGAACGGGCAAAAGAAAGAAAGAGGCAGGCAUUCCUCAGGCCUUAUCUCUCUGGUUCUUUCUGCUACAUUUGACACCUUGGGAUGACUCUCACCUUCUGGAAUCUCUCUACUACCUUGGUUUCAGAAGAGUGAACCCUCUGGAUUAUCACAUGAAGCUACUUCCUGUGAGCAGCCCAGGGAUGGCCAGUCACUUGUGACCUACUUUCAGAGCUGGCAGUUCUGACUUCUAGAACAAACUCGGAACAAGCCCAUCUACAGCUGGUUGACUGAGUUUCCUUUGGGCUCCUGGCACCAGAAAGAAUUGCUCACUGGAAGGAUCAUAGGUGGCACUCAUGUCUCACUGCCCCACUCAGGCGGAGUGCGGUGACUCUCGCCUAUAAUCCCAGAAUUUUGAGAGGCCAAGGUGGGCAGCUCACUUGAGCUCAGAUGUUCGAGACCAGCCUGGGCAACAUGGCAAAACCCCAUCUCUACAAAAAAUACAAAAAUUAGCCAGGCAUGGUGGUGUGCACCUGUAGUCCCAGAUACCUGGAGGCUGAGGUGGAAGGAUCACUUGAGCCUGGGAGGCAGAGGUUGCAGUGAGCCAAGAUCACAUCACUGCACUCCAGCCUGAGUGACAGUGAGACUCUGUCUCAAAAAAGGAAAAAAGAAAAGAAAUUAAAAUUAAAUAAAUUUUAAAAAUCUUU